GGGAAAGGUGCGCAUCGGCCAGCGCAGCGGAGGGUGACUCCGUGCCCGAAACGCUUGAGAGAGCUCUCCGGAGGGCUUGAUCUAGCGCUGGGCUGUACAGGUAUCAAAUCCUGUCUUUCCCACCA
rnacentral:tRNA from 1 species